CUCCAUCCAGCUGGAUCUCUGUCACAGAUCGUGAUAAAACAGCUCCAUCCACUGCAGAUCCAAUCCUGAUGGCACAUCCAAUGAUGUUUGUGCUGAAAGGGGUGGAGUUCUUUCUGUUCGGCAUUACCACUAUUUUAUAUGUGUCUUUAUGUCGACAAAUGAACAAAGGAAAGAACCCGCCUGUUUCUACAAAGACGUCUCCACUCAGAAAAUAUGCUGAGGAAUUGGACCCACAGCAUGAUGAUGUCAUCGCUGACGUCACUGAGCAUCAAUUCUGAGCUACUUUCUUCUUCUGUUGUUUGUUGAGCUGUAUGUUUUUAAAUAUAAUGACUAUU